CUCCUACGGGACGCAGCAGUCGGGAAAUUUUGCAAAACGGCCGAAAGGCUGUUGCAGCAACGCCGGGUGAGCGAAGAAGGCCUUCGGGUUGUAAAGCUCUGUUGCCUGCGAAGAAGGGCCCUGUCAGGAAAUGGGCGGGGUUUGACGGUAGCAGGCGAGAAAGCCCCGGCAAAUACGUGCCAGCAGCCGCG
rnacentral:rRNA from 1 species